GAAGGAGGAUGGUGCGGAACAAGGUUAGGGGAUUAGGGGAAAGUUGGUUUUCAAAAGGAUGAGGCCAGCUUCCUGCCGGAUCUGCAGCUGUUUCACGACCGAAAUGGGACGCCGUUUAUGCGGAUGUGAAUUUGCACCGGUUGUAUUCGAUAAAGUUAAUUUUAACGGUGAGGAGAAGGAUCCGACGGAAGAGGGAAACGACGAGAAGCGAUCGGAGGUUGUCAGCGCGGAUGUUGCACUCGGUACCGGCGGUUUACGACCAUCAGCAGCAUUAUGUGCCGGAAGUGAUGACGGGACAGUGUGGGAUGUCCUGAGGGUCCGCAGUCCAUUUCUCGGUGCGGGACAUGUUUGACGAGUAUUACAUAAACAUCCGGAAGAACAGUUUGCACCAGUUCUGGAAGAACCGUCUGUACGAAAGCCGCAGGUCCUGAAGCUGUCGUACUCGGAUUACUUCCAGAGGUUGGAGCGAUAUCCGACGAACCUGAUAAAGAAAAUCUUCCUGGAAUACCGAAGAAGUCACCGCAACUCCCGCCCGCAAACUCUCAACUCGCGACGGCGCAGCUUCGGCCGGAUGAACUGGCAACAUCUGUGCCAUUCCGAAGGAGGACGAUGUGAUCGGGAACUAUCGGUUCAGGCGCUUCACUUCCCAGUCGGAAAACGUCGACUUACCUUCCCGAAUUAACACCCAAUGGCCAACUCCUCCAAGCCUGUCCUGAUGAUGGCCGGCAACGAGACCACCCUGUUCUCUACAUCGCUGUCGCGCUCCAAAAUGUAGGCCGCGAUGUUAAGCAGCAUAAGCAGCAGUUUUAAUAUUAAAAUAAAAAUAGAAAUAAAAUCCAUCACAUUUUUCGAAAAUCA